rnacentral:lncRNA from 1 species
CUAAAGUUCCUUCUUCUCAGAGGGUGGCACCACCCUGAGUUGCUGGCAGUGAGUCUGUUCCAAGUUCCAGUGAGGGAGGCAUCCACCCACUUGGGGCUUCUGUCCAAGGUAAGGAGCACCUGUGAGUCUAACUGCCAGGCUCUGAUGGGGGUCUCAUCUCUGUGGGACUAGAAAGUCCCAACAAUCUGACCAAGGUAACAGGAAGUUAAGACAAAGACAGAGACCAAAGUCAGAAUCAGAGCUGUGCUGUGAGACAAAAAGAUAAGAGAAAUAAAAUGCUGGUCACAAAAGUCAGGAAAACUAGAAAACUUAGAUAGUACCUGGCAACAAACAAAAGCUUUUGGCUGAAGAUCAAUGUGUUUAAGAGAUAACAAAAGGGGUGCUAAUACAGAAGCUGAGUCCUUAAAAGAGUCCGGUGGCCUACCUGUUAAAGCAGCUAAAAAAGAGACUGUGUUUCAUACUCCUCCACUGACCAGUGCAAAACAAGCUAAAAAGUUCCUGGGCACUGCGGGCUUUUGCAGAUUGUGGAUUCCAGGUUUUGCUGAGUUAAAGAGAUAAACAGCCCUUCGUAUAAAGAAAAAAAAAAGGAACAAUCUUACAUGGCCUUAGAUGCUCUUGAGACUGCCCUAAUGUUAUCCCCAGCUAUGGGACUCCUAGAUGUGACUGAGAACAAAGGUAUUGCCAAAAGAAGUUCUUACUCAGAGAUUGGGACCCUAAAAAAGACCUGUGGCAUACUUGUAUAAAAAAUUAGACCUGGUGGCUGUAGGAUGGCCUGCUUGUCUGCACAUAGUGGCUUCUGGUCAAGGACGCAGAUAAAUUGACUCUGAGACAAAACUUGGCACAUGUCCUAGAAAGUGUGGUUCAGCCCCCAUGACCGAUGGCUGACUAACGCUCUUGAAAACAUUAUCCAACCGUCCCCCUGACCGAUGGACACAUUGUCAGAGCUUUUUGUUGACUGAACGAGUGACCUUCGCUCCCCCUGCUAUCCUCAAUCUCACUACUGCCUGAGACUUCACCUACUCAUCAUUGUGCUGACAUUCUGGCAGAAGAAACUCAUACUCGAAAUGAUCUGAAAGAUCAGAUCAGCCUUGGCCUGAGAGUUUGAGCUGGUACACGGAUGGCAGUAGCCUCGAGGUUAAGGGUAAGCGGAAGGCGGGGACAGCAGUGCAGUGAUGGACAGAAAGCAAGUGAUCUAGGCCAGCAGCCUCCCUAAAGGGACUUCAGCCCAGAAAGCUAAACUUGUGGCUUUAAUACAAGCUCUAUAUAUAUAGACAUCUGCAGAGAAAGACCUAAGAUGCUGUGGCUAAAAGAAAUCAGAUGGCAAAUCUAACCGCCCAGGCAUCCUAAAGAGCAAUGAUCCUGACAGUCUAAAGACUAUCAAGUUAUAGACAAAUUAAGACUGGUAAAAGAAACCCUGUAUAAAAUAGUAAAAACUGAAGAAAGAAAACUAGUCCUCUCAUGAGAAGACAGACCUGACAUCUACUGAAAAAUAGACUUUACUGAAAAAAUAUGUGUAUAAAUACCUUCUGAUUUUUGUGAACGUUCUCAAGAUAGAUAAAAGCUUUUCCUUGUAAAACGAGACUGAUCAGAUAGUCAUCAAGAAGAUUGUUAAAGAAAAUUUUCCAAGGUUCGGAGUGCCAAAAGCAAUAGUGUCAGAUAAUGGUCCUGCCUUUGUUGCCCAGGUAAGUCAGGGUGUGGCCAAGUAUUUAGAGGUCAAAUGAAAAUUCCAUUGUGUGUACAGACCUCAGAGCUCAGGAAAGAUAAAAAAGAAUAAAUAAAACUCUAAACAGACCUUGACAAAAUUAAUCCUAGAGACUGGCACAGACUUACUUGGUACUCCUUCCCCUUGCCCUAUUUAGAACUGAGAAUACUCCCUCUUGAUUCGGUUUUACUCUUUUUAAGAUCCUUUAUGGGGCUCCUAUGCCCAUCACUGUCUUAAAUGAUGUGUUUAAACCUAUGUUGUUAUAAUAAUGAUCUAUAUGUUAAGUUAAAAGGCUUGCAGGUGGUGCAGAAAGAAGUCUGGUCACAACUGGCUACAGUGAACAAGCUGGGUACCCCAAGGACAUCUUACCAGUUCCAGCCAGAGAUCUGAUCUACGUACACCUGCGUCAUGCUGAGACCCUCAAGCCUCACUAAAAGGGUCCCUGCCUAGUUCUGUUUACUAAUCUGCCUUAUUCUGUUUUUGUUCCCAUGUUAAAGAUAGAGUAAAUGCAGUAUUCUCCACAUAGAGAUAUAGACUUCUGAAAUUCUAAGAUUAGAAUUAUUUACAAGAAGAAGUGGGGAAUGAAGAAUAAAAAAUUACUGGCCUCUUGUGAGAACAUGAACUUUCACCUCGGAGCCCACCCCCUCCCAUCUGGAAAACAUACUUGAGAAAAACAUUUUCUGGAACAACCACAGAAUGUUUCAACAGGCCAGAUGUAUUGCCAAACACAGGAUAUGACUCUUUGGUUGAGUAAAUUUGUGGUUGUUAAACUUCCCCUAUUCCCUCCCCAUUCCCCCUCCCAGUUUGUGGUUUUUUCCUUUAAAAGCUUGUGAAAAAUUUGAGUCGUCGUCGAGACUCCUCUACCCUGUGCUAAGGUGUAUGAGUUUCGACCCCAGAGCUCUGUGUGCUUCCAUGUUGCUGCUUUAUUUCGACCCCAGAGCUCUGGUCUGUGUGCUUUCAUGUUGCUGCCUUAUUAAAUCUUGCCUUCUACAUUU